rnacentral:rRNA from 1 species
UACGUAGGAGACGAGCGUUGUCCGGAGUUACUGGGCGUAAAGGGUGCGCAGGCGGCCUGGCGCGUCGCGAGCGAAAUCUCCUGGCUCAACUGGGAGGGUGGUCGCGAGACGGCUGGGCUUGAGGCUCGGUGAGGGGCGUGGAAUUCCGGGUGGAGCGGUGAAAUGCGUAGAGAUCCGGAGGAACACCGACGGCGUAGGCAGCGCCCUAGACGAGACCUGACGCUCAGGCACGAAAGCGCGGGGAGCGAACAGG